rnacentral:rRNA from 1 species
AUUGAACGCUGGCGGCAGGCCUAACACAUGCACGUCGAGCGGAUGAAGGGAGCUUGCUCCUGGAUUCAGCGGCGGACGGGUGAGUAAUGCCUAGGAAUCUGCCUGGUAGUGGGGGACAACGUCCGGAAACGGGCGCUAAUACCGCAUACGUCCUGAGGGAGAAAGUGGGGGAUCUUCGGACCUCACGCUAUCAGAUGAGCCUAGGUCGGAUUAGCUAGUUGGUGGGGUAAAGGCCUACCAAGGCGACGAUCCGUAACUGGCCUGAGAGGAUGAUCAGUCACACUGGAACUGAGACACGGUCCAGACUCCUACGGGAGGCAGCAGUGGGGAAUAUUGGACAAUGGGCGAAAGCCUGAUCCAGCCAUGCCGCGUGUGUGAAGAAGGUCUUCGGAUUGUAAAGCACUUUAAGUUGGGAGGAAGGGCAGUAAGUUAAUACCUUGCUGUUUUGACGUUACCAACAGAAUAAGCACCGGCUAACUUCGUG